ensembl:lncRNA
ACAGAUCUGAUCAAAAACAGAUGUAAAAACCUCGAAAACCAAAAACACACAGUUUAACAGAUUUAAAACAUUCAGAUGUUAAAGAUGUGCCUCCCUCUGGUGGUUACAACGCAAACUGCAGCUUAAACACAGAACAAUCUGUUGAUUACAAAGAAACGACUCCAUCUAGUGGUAAAACUGAAAACAACAAGUCCCACUCGUUUAACUAAACCAAGACUAAACCAGAUCUAAACCAGGACUAAACUAGGACCAAACUAGGACUAAGCCAGGACUAAACCAGGACUAAACCAGGUCUAUACAAGGACUAAACCAGGACUAAACCAGGACUAAACCAGGACUAAACCAGGCCUAAACCAGGUCUACACCAGGACUAAACCAGGACUAAUCAAAAACUAAAGCAGGACUAAACCAAGACUAGUUAAAUCAGGUUUAUACAAGGACUAAACCAGGACUAAUCAAAACUAAAGCAGGACUAAACCAGGACUAAACCAAGAUUAAACCAGGUCUACACCAGGACUAAACUAGGACUAAACCAGGACUAAACCAUGAUUAAACCAGGUCUAUACAAGGACUAAACCAAGACUAAACCAGGUCUACACCAGGACUAAACCAGGACUAAUCAAAACUAAAGCAGGACUAAACCAGGACUAAACCAAGAUUAAACCAGGUCUACACCAGGACUAAACCAGGACUAAACCAUGAUUAAACCAGGUCUAUACAAGGACUAAACCAAGACUAAACCAGGUCUACACCAGGACUAAACCAGGACUAAUCAAAACUAAAGCAGGACUAAACCAGGACUAAACCAAGAUUAAACCAGGUCUACACCAGGACUAAACCAGGACUAAACCAUGAUUAAACCAGGUCUAUACAAGGACUAAACCAAGACUAAACCAGGUCUACACCAGGACUAAUCAAAACUAAAGCAGGACUAAACCAGGACUAAACCAAGAUUAAACCAGGUCUACACCAGGACUACACCAGGACUAAACCAGGACUAAACCAGGUCUAAACCAAGACUAAAUCAAGACCAAUCAAUAAACUAAAGCAGGACUAAACCAGGACUAAACCAGGACUAAACCAAGGCUACACCAGGACUAAACUAGGACUAAACCAGUUAUACACCAGGACUAAACUAGGUCUAAACCAAGACUAAACCUGGUCUAAACCAGGUCUAGACUCAGACUGAACACAGCGGUGAGAUGAAUGAAGAAAAACAUGUCUUCAAUUUCAUCUUUAGAACAAAAAUGGCUUCAGGCUCAAACCACUUUAUGUAAAUGUUGUUCUGUCACGCUCCAUCGGCUGUGUCCAAAUACUAUAAUCACAGCCUCUUCAAACCGACCAAUCACAGCCCUCGCCUCUGAGAAAGGAUCAAUCACAGCCCUCGCCUCUCAGAAUGGACCAAUCAGGGUUUAGAGUCCUCAGGUCCCACGGUGGAGUCACUUGUGGAUAACCAGAGCUGGAUGGAGGGAGAGGUCAC